rnacentral:miRNA from 1 species
UUUCUAUGUUAGUUGGAAG